UUUUAACGGCCGCGGUAUUCUAACCGUGCAAAGGUAGCGUAAUCACUUGUCUUCUAAAUAAAGACCAGUAUGAAUGGCUAAAUGAGGAUAAACCUGUCUCCUGCACCCAAUCAGUGAAACUGAUCUCUCAGUCCAAAAGCUGGGAUAACAACACAAGACGAGAAGACCCUGUGGAGCUUAAAACACACUACUAUAAAACUAAAUAAGUAAUUAGUACCCAUUUUAAGUUGGGGCGACUUCGGAACAAAAUAAAACUUCCGAGCACAGAACCACCACUUCUUACCAAGGCUAACAGGCCGACAUAAAUGACCCAGUCAUACUGAUCAACGAACCAAGUUACCCCAGGGAUAACAGCGCUAUCUUCUUCAAGAGUCCAUAUCGACAAGAAGGUUUACGACCUCGAUGUUGGAUCAGGACACCCAAAUGGUGCAGCCGCUAUUAAAGGUUCGUUUGUUCAACGAUUAAUAGUCCU
rnacentral:rRNA from 1 species